rnacentral:rRNA from 1 species
CACGCAGGCGGUCUGUCAAGUCGGAUGUGAAAUCCCCGGGCUCAACCUGGGAACUGCAUUCGAAACUGGCAGGCUAGAGUCUUGUAGAGGGGGGUAGAAUUCCAGGUGUAGCGGUGGAAUGCGUAGAUAUCGGGAGGAACACCAGUGGCGAAGGCGGCCUACUGGGCACCAACUGACGCUGAGGCUCGAAAGUGUGGGUAGCAAACA